AGAUACGGUACAAUCGGGGUAACUGGAACAUUCACAGCAGGAGGUCUUACAGAGCAGUAAAAACAGAAAAGAAACAAGACAAAAUAAAGCAAAACGCCCAAACGUCAAAACCAAGGACAGGCCCACUGCCAAGCUCUCAGUGCAAAGAAGAGGAUUGCGGGUUAGCGUGGGUCCAAAUGGAGCUUCACCGGAAACAAAAGCUCUUCUAGGACCUUGUCCACAGUAUCUAGACAUUGGUGAAGGACACAGGAUCUGUUCAACACGGUCCUGAUCAGGGCGAGGCUGCAUUACGGCAUUCUGGACGCUACGAGAGCACAGAUCAAGAAAGAACACUUCUUCUUUCUUCUGUUUGAUUUAGGACACAGACUCAGUACAAUAAACCCAUCACAAUAGUGGUGGAAACGAGACGAAGCCAAUCUCUCCGGUUCCAUCCAGGCAGGCCUGGGGACUGUCAAAGGCAAGGAAGGAGUUUCCCUCCUGGACGCCUACUUGGGGGUGGACGACCUGCUGACAGCACAGAGCCUCAGCCCAGCGCAGGGAGGCGCUCCUCAAAUGCUUCUGGAAGAAUUCCACAAGCCGACAGGAGAUGGGGGAAGCCUCUGCCCAGCUGCCUCCCUGGCCCCGCCCUGACAGCCGUAAACAACAGCCUAAACAGACCAUGAACGGCAUCCUCAUAACUCCAAAUCCCGGAUGACUGAACUGGCUCUAGGUAAUGUUCGAGAAAGACUGAGGAAACCCCGGCCGUGGUGAGACUGUCGAUGCAGGAAUGGUCAGGAGUUGGAGGAAGAGAACGUGCCAUGGAGAGCUGUCCUCCUUGCCUGGAAUGAUGAGGGACACACAACACAUCCAGGAGACACCGACAGUUUUCUUUGACUACAUUACACAGAAUACGGGAGAAGAUUUACUCAAAAUACACUUCGCUUGGCAGACACAAAAACUGUAAGAAAUGUACCAUCCACUUCAGAGUGCCCGCCUGUGCUGAGUGCUUUUUGUUGUUGCAACAUGACAGGUGUUUUUGUAGGUCUGGUAAGUGGACUAAGGUCAGCAUGUCAUGGGGUUAAAGGAAACCCAAAUACAGCCAAUAUACACCUUAACCACUAACCAGUUGUCUUUCUGUGAUACCAGGUGAAGGCCAAAUUCAGACAUUCCGGCUUCAGAGCCUGUAAUGCAUAUACAGAGGCAAUCAGAAGGUGUUCCCGUGGAAUGCUUUUAAAAUGAUCCCAGGGCUUAGAAAGUCUCGCUGUGCCUGAAUCUCUUUUCUGGAACCUUCUCAAUGAUGUCUUAGACCCUCUCUUCUGUCACUACCUUUCCCAUCUCUCCCUUGAUAUCUCAAGACACUCAGAGAAGUGGCUAAGCAGUUUUUGGUGCAAACCUGAACUCUGAUUUCAUGAGAUUUGUAAAUAAAGGUGCAUUUGCCAACUUUGGUGAAAUCACUUAAAGACUGUUUCUGACGGCCUCAGUCUACUAAAGACCACGUUUCAAGAGUAAAACGGGGUAGAGAGUCCGGGGAGCUCCAAGACACGGCCUUUGCAAUAGUACUGCGAUCAGAGAGUCUUCUAACCGUGUGUAUCUGCUGGCGGGGGGUGGGAGGGGGUCCCUUUCCUGGGCAGGCAAUGAUAACUGUCAAGCCAGUGUGGAACGGAGAUGAUGCUCAGGAUCCUAAAAAGCUGGCAGCACAAACAUCACAGGAACUGUGUUCUCUGGACUACUCCACAGGGGCUUCCCAAACCACUUUCUGAGCUCCUGCAUGCUUGCCUAUUUCCUAAUUUUUCAGUUUCUAAACUAAACCUACUUGGCCCUUGUAAAGAUGAGGUUAGCAUCAGAAGAAGGUAGUUAAUAAGAUGAAGCCAUUUUCAUGAAGAUCCUCUAGAAUCUUGCACUAGUUGCAAGUCUAUGCUCAACAGACGGGGAAACUGAGGACCAGAGAUGUUCAGUGCCCUCCAUUCUCCCCAGCAAGAUCUGGGUCUCUGUUGGCUGGUGGUGGAGCUUGGCCUAGGACCCUUCCAUCUUCUCUCUGGGUGUCACAUGAUCCCUGGCUGCUGGGUUUGGCUUCCAAGGCAGCAGGGUUGAAGGCGAGCUGGGUGCUGUAAGACCCAUUACUUGGGGUGUAAUGUGGUACAGGAUUUACAGUUUAGAGCAGCUGAGUUUUUUUCCUACUGAGAGGACCCAGCGAUAAUAAAAGGAUUCAGGAGCAUUCUGGAUGGAUUCCAAAGAGCUGUGAGGAAAUUUUAGACAGAAAGGGAGUUAGAGAUAUCGGAGCAAGUGGGACUGUCCCCUAGGCUCUCUCUUUGCACGUACUCGCGUUUUCCUUCCACUGUGGAUGAAACGGGAGGCUGGUUGCAUGUCCUGUGCCAGUUGCCAUUCGGAUAGAACUGAGAGUUUCUGUUUACUCGCACGGCUGUGUCUUACUCCAGCCAACCCAGGACAAGCCAGACAGGCCACACCACAUAUUUGGGAACAACCUGAGCUCUCUCGUAGGGAAUCAGGGUGAUGGGAGCAACAUGGGGGAGGCAGAGAAAACUGCACGGAAGGUGGAAGAGGUGGUGACCAAGAAGGUUUGUGACCACAGACUGUCCAGGAAAUUAGAAUAGACCCCUCUUGGGCCACCUGGGGGGCUCGGAUUAGGUGACAAGAAGGCCAAGAAAAGCCCUUCUGGAGAGGCACGCUGGCAGGUCUCAGGAGGUGGGGUUCUGCUGGUUCCUCCUAUUCUGACCCAACUCAGCGUGCGAGCAAAAUUCCGUGUACACUGCGCUCUGCAGCUUGGGAGAUAUUUUAUGCAUUUAGAGCCACAACAGACAUUUCUCAAAGUAAGGUGGCCCAGGGAGCAAAGUUAACCAUCAUGGAAGGCUCAAGAGCGGCCUCCGUGCCCAUUUCUAUCUUCUGUUGAAUGGCUUGACGGGGACACACAUCCCACGUCUGCGGUUAUCACUGCGCGUGCUACGUUCAACUAGAAAAACCUGCUCAGGUCCCCAGAUAGGUCUUUUUUAACAAGAUAAAUCAAGGGGUAGGUAGGUGGGGAACAAAUACCUAUGGAAGAGGAGUAACAGAAGGGUACCUUCUUGGGUUGUCUGACUGCCAUCUUUGUCCUCCAAUAAAUCACAGGAGGGGGCAGGCGGGGCAGGGCAGGGGAGGAGGGCAGGUUCUGUUUCUUCCCUGCUUUGCUGAUAUCAGUCUCAUAGAUCUCAUCUAGUUUUUAUUGAGUUUCCUUCUUCCUGCCACCUUUGUAGCUUUUGGCUUGAACUUUCCUGAUGUUCUGGCUCUGAGCCUGUGUCCCCAGGGAAGCACCUUCUUCCUGCCAGCCCCCCACCCCAGGCUGCCCCCUCUACAGACUCGAACUACUUUAAGGGGGAGGUGAUUAAUAGCUUAUGUUAAUGAAAGCAGCUUUUCAGGGAAUCUGAACCCUGCAGUCUGGAGCUCCAGGAGGAUCACUGCGGGGUGGGGUGGGGGGAGCAGGGAGGCAGAGUGGCCUCUGGGGUUAAGACAUCUUUGGAUGUAAUGACUACUGCAAACAAAGGCAGUCCCCUCCCCGAGGCCCCAGGGCUGUGGCCUGCUGGAAAUGCCUAUAAUAAGUAAUGAAGAUAACCCUCUAACAGGACAGAGAGUAAAAAAGGAAUGUUUUGAUAUGGGAUUUAUUCCUGGCUGCUGGUCAUCACUGCAAGUCUACAAGGAGGCUGCCAAUUUCAAAGAAGAUGAGUAAAAAGGACAAGCUUGGAGGAGGGGCAGGCCCGAGGGGUGAGAAGGUCACGGAGCUGCCAGCCCGUGGGAAUGUCCUGCUGACCUCUCUCUUCCAG
rnacentral:lncRNA from 1 species